rnacentral:rRNA from 1 species
AACGAACGCUGGCGGCAGGCUUAACACAUGCAAGUCGAGCGCCCCGCAAGGGGAGCGGCAGACGGGUGAGUAACGCGUGGGAAUCUACCCAUCUCUACGGAAUAACGCAUGGAAACGUGUGCUAAUACCGUAUACGUCCUUCGGGAGAAAGAUUUAUCGGAGAUGGAUGAGCCCGCGUUGGAUUAGCUAGUUGGUGGGGUAGAGGCCUACCAAGGCGACGAUCCAUAGCUGGUCUGAGAGGAUGAUCAGCCACACUGGGACUGAAACACGGCCCAGACUCCUACGGGAGGCAGCAGUGGGGAAUAUUGGACAAUGGGCGCAAGCCUGAUCCAGCCAUGCCGCGUGAGUGAUGAAGGCCCUAGGGUUGUAAAGCUCUUUCACCGGUGAAGAUAAUGACGGUAACCGGAGAAGAAGCCCCGGCUAACUUCGUGCCAGCAGCCGCCGCGGUAA